UCCCUGGUGGUCCAGUGGUUAGGGCUCUGUGCUUCCAAUGAAGGGGGCUUGGGUUCAAACCUUGGUCAGGGAA
rfam:TPA: Bos taurus chromosome 9, whole genome shotgun sequence.